GGCCAGGUCACAGUGACUCAGCCUGAAGCAGUGAGCUCUGCUCUGGGAAGCUCCGUCACCAUCAGCUGUAGAACCAGUCAGAGCGUUGAAAGUUCAAACCAUUUAGUGUGGCACCAAUAGAGAGAUGGAGACAAACCUAAACUGCUUCUUUACUAUGUUUCCACUCGAGCAUCAGGGAUUCCACAUCGUUUUACAGGCAGCGGAUCAAACUCUGACUUCACUCUGACCAUCAGUGAUGUUCAGGUUGAAGAUGCAGCAGUUUACUACUGUCAGAGUCUUCACGAAAUCAACAGUCAGUCAGUCAGUAUCUGUUCACACAGUCAGACUGAACAGAAACUGAACUGACUGUUCAGAUAAAAUGAAUAGUCCUGCACAGGAUCAUUCAUUCAGUUAACUCUCAGUAAUGACUGUGUGUUCACUGACUCUGUGUGUUUGUAUGUGUGUCCUGCCUCUCUGCAGCUGAUCAGAGGCCAGUGUUGAUCAGGUGCUGACAAAUUAUGAUUUAAGCUGUAUUUUGUGAGAUAUUAAACAUCUACAAACAAUUCAUUUCACAGUAAAACAAAUUGAUAUGAGAUAGUUGUGAAGGAAAACACUCCAAUAAAUCCCGCCAAAUCUAAAUACUGAUCAUAGAUAAUUAUUUAUUGUAGAUUUUGUCCCACAGUGAUGAUUGAUAAUAAUGGUGUAUAAUGAGGACUUUUUCAUGAAAGUCAAAACUACAUAGAAAUGAACAAUGGCACACACCUAAUUACUCCUCUGAUAACUUGACUCAUCCACUGAUAAACAGCAUCAUCAGAGUGACCCUGUCUCUGUCAGAGCAUUUCCAUAGAGAGCCACUUUGCAUCAGCAGCACCAUGCUCCAGUGCUCUGGGACACUUUAUAGUCCUGAGACUUGAAGGCUGGAUGACUGACAGCUGUCCUUCAUGACAAGACACGCCACAGAAAUCCUUGUCAUCCAAAACAUGACUCUGAUCUCCGUCCUCAUCUGGACUCUCCUCUGCUGCUGCUUCACAGAGUCCAGAGGACAGGUCACAGUGACUCAGCCUGAAGCAGUGAGCUCUGCUCUGGGAGGCUCUGUCACCAUCAGCUGUAGAACCAGUCAGAACGUUGAAAGUUCAAACCGUUUAGUGUGGCACCAACAGAUAGAUGGAGACAAACCUAAACUGCUUCUUUACUAUGUUUCCACUCGAGCAUCAGGGAUUCCACAUCGUUUUACAGGCAGCGGAUCAAACUCUGACUUCACUCUGACCAUCAGUGAUGUUCAAGCUGAAGAUGCAGCAGUUUACUACUGUCAGAGUCUUCACGAAAUCAACAGUCAGCUUCUGUUCACACAGUAAAAAACCAUUGUA